GACGAACGCUGGCGGCGUGCUUAACACAUGCAAGUCGAACGGAAAGGCCCUGCUUUUGUGGGGUGCUCGAGUGGCGAACGGGUGAGUAACACGUGAGUAACCUGCCCUUGACUUUGGGAUAACUUCAGGAAACUGGGGCUAAUACCGGAUAGGAGCUCCUGCUGCAUGGUGGGGGUUGGAAAGUUUCGGCGGUUGGGGAUGGACUCGCGGCUUAUCAGCUUGUUGGUGGGGUAGUGGCUUACCAAGGCUUUGACGGGUAGCCGGCCUGAGAGGGUGACCGGCAACAUUGGGACUGAGAUACGGCCCAGACUCCUACGGGAGGAAGAAGGGGGGAAUAUUGCAAAAGGGGCGGAAGCCUGAUGAAGAAACGCGGGGUGGGGGAGGACGGCCUUCGGGUUGUAACCCGUUUUCGCCUGUGAGGAAGGGUGGGGGAGGGAAAUGGGAAAAGAAGAACGGGCAACUUACGG
rnacentral:rRNA from 1 species